UACGUAGGGUGCAAGCGUUGUCCGGAAUUAUUGGGCGUAAAGAGCUCGUAGGCGGCUUGUUACGUCGGGUGUGAAAGCCCGGGGCUUAACCCCGGGUCUGCAUUCGAUACGGGCUGGCUAGAGUGUGGUAGGGGAGAGCGGAAUUCCUGGUGUAGCGGUGAAAUGCGCAGAUAUCAGGAGGAACACCGGUGGCGAAGGCGGAUCUCUGGGCCAUUACUGACGCUGAGGAGCGAAAGCGUGGGGAGCGAACAGG
rnacentral:rRNA from 1 species